GACGAAGGAUGCAAGCGUUAUCCGGAUUCAUUGGGUUUAAAGGGAGCGUAGGUGGCCUUAUAAGUCAGAUGUGAAAGUCCUGGGCUUAACCUGGGGACUGCAUUUGAUACUGGGUUGCUUGAAUUCGGGAGAGGAUAGCGGAAUUCCCAGUGUAGAGGUGAAAUUCGUAGAUAUUGGGAAGAACACCGGUGGCGAAGGCGGCUAUCUGGACCGACAUUGACGCUGAGGCGCGAAAGCGUGGGGAGCAAACAGG
rnacentral:rRNA from 1 species